AUGUCCAAUCCAGGCCCAAAGGUGAGACCAGGAAACAAACUUCCUGUCAAACCUGCAGGAGCCCUCGGCAGGGCGUCGAGCGAUCUGAGGAGGCUCCAGUCCCUGCUUGCAAAAGACGGCCCCAGACAGGAGGUGGGAGACCUGAGUCACGGUAGAUCCACACCUUCUCCAAAACACAGCAGACUUCGGACUGAGAGAAGCAUCAGCAGCGAAGCAGCUGAACUGGAAAGAUUCAGGUUUGUCCCCCUUAAAGAUUCAUAAAGGUGAUUAAAAAACACAUUUCCUUUCUUUUGUUUCAUAAUAAGUCAGUUCAAAUAAAGUUAUUCUCACCAAAUAUGAGAUAUUAUUCAU
rnacentral:lncRNA from 1 species